UUUCUCUCUUAUCAAAUCUUUGGCCAAAACGUAAAACCCUAACUCACCCACUCUCCCCUCUCUCUGAACUCCCGCCGCAGCCGUUGACCCCUCCGCCUCCAUCUCCGGUCGUCGCCGCCGCCUCCAGAUCUGCUUCCGGUCGUCGUCGCCGCCUCCAGAUCUGCCUCCGGUCAUCGUCGUCGCUCCACAAGGUUCGGCUCUCUCUCUCUCUCUCUUCCGGACUCGUUGCACCUCCGGUCGUCGUCGCCGCCUCCAGAUCUGCCUCCGGUCAUCGUCGUCGCUCCACAAGGUUCGGUUCUCUCUCUCUCUCUCUUCCCCUCUCUUCCGGACUCGUUGCACCUCCGGUCGUCGUCGCCGCUGCUGUUGUUUGAACCUGGAGGGAUUUGAUUUUUUUUUUCCUGUGCUAAAAUGAGUGGUUAUAAUCUGGAAUUUUCCAAUUUGAUUUUGUCUUGUCUUGAUAGGUUUGGGCUAAUUUUAGUAUCUCUUCCCAUCUUGUUGGUUAAUCUAUUAAAUUGUUAUUAUCUUAUCUAAUUAUUUUGGUUAUCUCAAUCGUCAGUAGCAUUUAUGCUUGAUUUUCAGUAGAUUUUAUUUCAGAUUUGGACGCAAUUUAUCUCUUCAUAGCCGGCCUUUAUAAAUAGGUUGCUAGUGCCGACACUGAGAGUGUUUUUUGUACAAUGCCUUGGUUCUGGAUUGUGGGUGCAAUGCUUAAAUGAGGUUCUUUUUUCUUUUUUGCUCUGUUAAGUAUGGUUUUUUCAAGAACUGUUAUAAGUCUUGUGUAUUUUCUUGUAAUAUGUUUGGAUCCAGAACGAUUGUGUAUAAAUCUAUAGCUUGCUUGUGCUUAUUCAUGCAGUUUACUUGUAUUAAGAAUUUUAUUUUGGGGGGGGGGGGGGGGGGGAGUAUUAAGAACCUGUUAUAAGUCUUGUGUAUUUUUUUGUAAUAUGUUUUAAUGCUCAAUGCAAACAACUAUACUAUUAUAACAGUUAGAAGUCCAAUUUGGUGCUUUGAAGUCCUUUCAGAUUUACUUGUUAUUUAUUUGGACUUUAGAAUUACUUGUUAUUUAUUUGGGUAUAUUUGUAGUAUUUUUUACAUAAUUUGGUUAAUGGUUAUGCUAUGAAAAGUUAUUUAAAUUUGAGUUUUAUUUUAUUAUUAGUUUAAACUCGAGCUCAUAAACGAGCUUUUGUCGAGUCGAGUUCGAGCUCGGCUUCCGAACAAAAUAAUCAUGCUUUUAAUGAUCCGAGCUCGAGCUUGGCUCGUGAACGGAUCUAAAUGAAUUUUAAGCGAGCCAAGUUCGAGCUCAUGAAGAACAAAAUGAACCCGAGCUCAAACAAGAUUUCGAGCUCGAGCUCCAGACAAAUAGAUCAGGCCAAGCCUAAGCUAUGCCAAGCUCAGCUCGAUUUGAUUCGAUUAAAGCUCUACGUAUUUCAAACUUUUGUGAUCAGUUUGCAAACAAUUGAAGUUUAGUGACCACGUUGCAAAAGAUACUAAAAUUUUGUAACUUUUAGUGUGAUUUACCCCCGAUUUUGCUCUUCGAAACUUCCUGACUCUUCAUAAUCCCAAAAUCAAUUCAAAAGAUAUUAUUGAAAGUGGAGAGACCUUGAAAAUCUAAUUGGACCCACCUAUUUGGCUGUAUUUGUUUUUUCAGUUUUGACUUGUAUUUUUUUUACCAGCUGUAAAAUGAAAAUUCUUUUAAUUUUAUUCAUUUCAUAUUUCCUAUUCAUCAACCCAAAAUUAUCAUACUAAAUUAAUAGGUAAUAUUGUUCAUCAAUAUUUGUUCUCUUUCUAAAUUUUACUUGUAGAGAAUGUUUGCCUUUGAUGUUUUAACAUCUUGUAUAGUUAGAAGUAUCAUGUUAAAGAACCAAUCUUAGUAAUAUACUUGGGUCAUCAUUUAAUAUUGAUUUAAUCUUUUUUUUAUUAUUUAUUUUUCACAUCUUUGGUAUAAUGUGCUGAUUAUUAAAAAAGUAUAGCUGGCUAUUUUCAAGUUGUGGAGGGCAUUUUGAUAGGACUUUAAAAAAAAGUGGAGACUCAUUGGAGUACUUUUCCCAUUAUUUAUUUUAUUAGCACAUCAACUUCUAGCAAUUGUGUGUGUGUGUUUUUCUUUUAACAACUUUCGAAAAAGAAAAAAAAGGGGGGGGGGGGGCGAAUCCACAUGAAGACCCGCAAAAGCAAAAACAUUAAAGGCAGAAUCUAGCUUAAAAAUAAUUAACACACACUAAUAAUUUAAAAACUAUUUUUCAAUAACAAUGAUAGACAGAGUGUUUGAACAUUUUAUUUAUUUCCUAAAGAAGCUGUAAAUAUUGAUCAUAGACUUGUUUUAACAUGUUUACAUAAUUGAAGGACUCUGGGGGAGUGACAUAAUCAAAUCCAUCAAGAAAUUGAAAUUCUGGAGAUCCCCCACAAACUCCAUGUUUUGCAUCCUCCAAUUCCAGCAAUAAUGGCUAGUCAACACGCACACGACCCGCCCGUUGCCCCAAAUGGAGCAUGUUUUUCCACAUCACAGACACACAAACUCACACUUGAUGAUGAGCCACUAAAUAAACUAUCAACGCUGUUACUUUUUGAAAAUACUGAAGAAGCCCUUAUGGGUUUUGGCAGAUAAACUCUAGUCUUGGCAGGUUCUUCAGUUUUGGAAUCAUUUGAAUUUUCAUUGCUUUUCUUGAUCUUUGCUUCUUUAAUUUUUUGCUUGUCGUUGGCUUCUGGAUCUGUGGAUUUCUUGUAUUAAGUCUUCUUCCACAUUUAAGGUGAUGUUUCUUUUUGUUAAUCCCAUGCAUGCCUCAAUCUGCAACUCUUCCCACAUCUUAGUACCCCUAUAAAUAAAAGUAUUACUAUUACCAAAUAUUAGACAAGAAUAUUAUUAAGAGAUCAAAAGGAUAUAUGCUCCUUAUGGAAAUUUCAAGAAAACACAUAUAUCAGCUUUCUUGGGGAGAGAUCUCCAUUGGCUUUUUGUGAUUGGAAGGUCAGAGGCUCGAGUUGCAGAAAUCUCUUUGUAAAGUAAGGAUCUUUCUAGAUCCUUGUAAAAAGAGGGAGUGGUGCACUUGGAGGAGGGGAAUGGGGGGAGGGAGAGGAGUUCAACAGUUUGGAGUAAGGAAGAAUUUGAGCUCUUUACUUCUGGAAGAUUGAUUUUAUUGUACACCAAAUGUGUUAUUAUAUCUAUAAUAGAUAAAUUUGGAAUUUUCUAUUCUAUUUAUUUGUUGUUAGGAGUGGUACCUUCUAUACAAAUUGUAUCAUAAUUUCACCUUCUUCUUUUGUCUUCCUAUUACUUAGGUUUAGGUUUUAUGUGGAUUGUGCUCCACAAUUAAUGAAGUAUAAUACAUUUGGCUCUAGGUUUUAGUAGUCACAGUCUUUCAUUGAAUUUUACUCUUAAUGCUUUUAGAGAGAAAAAAAAAUAUGAAUCAUGCUUACAAAUUGUUCAUUAUUGUUACAACAAAAUGAUGACUAAACGAUUUAAUUUCGAAGUUUUUCAUGUUAUUGUCAAUCUGAUCUAUUUAACAUGAUUUUGUUGUAUUUUCUCUAACUUACACCCAUUUGUGAUGGAUUAUUUUUGAUGGGUAGCCUUCCAUUAGGAUCUCUGAAUUAAAGUUAGAAAUUUUCACUCAAAAUUUUAAUGAAUUAUUUCUGAUAUUUGAUAUUGCCAUUGGUUGGGAGAAAUUUUCACUAGAGAUUUUCGGUUGAUGCAUUAUUUCUGAUAUUUGAUUGCAUGGAUAGCAUUAUUUCCAAUAUUUGUUGGAAAUUUUCACUCGAAAUUUUGAUAGUUUAUUUAUGAUAUAUCAUACUAUGGUUGCAUGGGUAGCAUUAUUUCUGAUAUUUAAUACUGUGGUUGCUUGAGAGAAAUUUUCACUCGAAAUUUUCAUGAUUGAUAGAUUAUUUCUUAUAUUUGAUACUAUGAUUGCAUGGAUAACAUUAUUUCUAAUAUUUGUUAGAAAUUUUCACUCGAAAUUUUGAUGGAUUGUUUUUUAUAUUUGAUAUUGUGGUUGCAUGGAUAGCAUUAUUUCUUAUAUUUGAUAUUGUGGUUGCUUCGGUAGCCUUCCAUUGGGAUGUCAAAAUUCAAAUUAUAAAUUUUUACUUGAAAUUUUCAUGAUUGAUGGAUUAAAAUGGCAUUUUAUUGAGAUUAGAAAUUUUCAUAUUCAGUUUAAUUCCAUUGUUAGUGUUUGGGUUGGAUGAAGUGUCUAAUUAGUAGCAUGAUUCCUAGUAUUCUUAUAUUCUUGUUGUAAGGGUCCACUCCUGGAUAUUCUCACUAGCAUAGGAUAUCUAGAAGGAGAUCAUCAUAAAGAUGAUAUAAAAUAAUAAAAUUCAACACCAUAUUUCUAUCUAUAGAUAAUAUCAAUAAAAGCCAAAAUAAAAGUUUAUAUCAUCCUCAGUUUAUAUCAUCUUGGCACCAUGGCCUAUACAAAACGUAUACAAGGGCAUUAAUGCAAAUAACAAAAUAAGAUCUCUUCACAGUAUGCCCUCAUCAAAACGAAACUACUGACAAAGACUUUCUAGUCUAGGAUGUCUUUAUACACCUCUAGACCCUGAGCUCUAGUUCUAUCGGACUUGUCCUCAAUAGUUGUUUUACCUUUACCUGGAAUGACAUGAGAGUAAACAAAGUGAGCCACAAGCCUCAAUAAGUAUAUGUAUAAAGCAUGAAGAGAUAGAAUCAAGGGCACAGAUAACCAAGAUAGAGUAAAUAAUGACUCUAGGAAAAUGUGUAAAUAGGACACAACUCAUAUGUUUCCACUAGAAGCUUACGAUGCACCAACACCACAAAUGAGUGAAAGCAAUUAACUUCAAUGCUGGUGGCGAUGUUCUUGUAUCGGGCUUAGUCAGUGGGAAUAUCAUAUUAUAGAAUUGGAAUACUCAUCAAGCUAAUUUUUCUUUUGAUUCAAGUCACAAUGAUUAUGUUUUUCAAGUAAAUAUCGUGCCUUACACUAAUGAUCGAACCAUUAUUUUACUUGAUUCUUAUGGAAAGGUAAUAUGUCUGACUUAUUUUCUUUCUAUAAAUAAAUGAUAAGGUUUAUUUGUACCAUUAAAGUUGAAACAAUUUGCUAAUAGAAAAUAUUUUAAAAAAAUUAGAUUAUAUAUGCAUGUAUGUAAUUUCGUGCAUUAAAUUAUAAAAUUUUGAAAGAUCAUGUUCUUAUCGAGGAGAAAUCUUAAGAGAUGAGGAUUUCUUGAAUUUUUAAGGGAGAUGAAGUGCAUCAACAUUGGUCAUUUUUUGGAGAUCGUGGAUUUCAAACUAAUAAGUAUGCCAUUGUGCUUGGAAGCCCUUACCAAAUGUAUAAAUGUGGUAAUGCGGGACGAGUUUUCCAUGUAAUACGAUCUAUUAUUAUUUAUUUAUUUUUUGUUUAUGUUGUUGCUUCUUUCAUUACAAAUGAUGGAUGGGUUUAUCAUGUAUUAUAUUUGAUGUCAUUGUAUAUUUCACAAGUUGAGAUGAGAUUAAAACCUGAUUUUAGAGUUUUUACUUUACCACGUAUCGAGGUCCCUAAUUUUGGUCAACUCACCCAAACAAAAAUUGCAAUAGAUAUGAGAAAUAUUGAAAUCUUUAUUGUUGGUGGAUCAAAUGAGUUUGUGCGAUUGUUUGACGUACGUCAAACUAAUAGAGCUUUUGAAUUGCUUAGUGCCAAUCAUUUAAUUGAUGAAGAUGUGUGCAUAACGGGGGUGAUAUUCUCCAAACACAGAGAGCUGAUUGUGUCUUACGAUGAAGAGUUCAUAUAUCUGUUUUCAAGGGAUAAGGGACCAAAUGUCAAUAGAUAAGCAUCUUCCCAAGCCUACAGAAGGCAUAAAAACUGUGACUUUAAACCAAGUUUGAACUUCUUUAGGCCAAACUCUGAUUAUGUUGUGAGUGGAUCAGAUUGUGAUCGAAUUUUCAUAAUUAGAGUUUGACAAUUUGAUCCAGUCACAACAUAAUCAAAGUUUGGCUCAAAUAAGCUUAAACUUGGUUUAAAGUCACAAUUUUUAUGUCUUUUGUGGGCCUGGGGAGAUGUUUCUCAAUUGGCAUUCGGUCCCUUAUUCCUUGAAAAAAGAUUGAUGAACUCUUCAUUGUAAGACACAAGUAGCUCUCUUUGUUUGGAGAAUGUCACCCCCGUUAUGCACACAUCUUCAUCAAUUAAAUGAUCAUGAUUAAACAAUUCAAAGGGUCUAUUACUUUGAUGUACGUCAAAUAACUGCACAAACUCAUCUAAUCCGCCAACAACAAAGAUUUCAAUAUUUCCUAGUUCUAUUGCAAUUUCUGUUUGGAUGAGUUGACCAAGGUCGGGGACUAGAUACGUGGUAAAGUAAAAACUCUAGAAUCAAGUUUUAAUCUCAUAUCAACUUGUGAAAUAUACAAUGGUAUCAAAUAUAAUACAUGGCAAACCCGUCCAUCAUUUGUAAUGUAAGAAGCAACAUAAAAAAAAUAGAUAAGAAUAGAUCAUAUUACAUAGCAAACUUGUCCUGCAUUACCACAUGUAUACAUUUGGUGAGGGCUUCUAGGCACAAUGGCAUACUUAUUAGCUUGAAAUCCACGAUCUCCAAAAGAUAGCCAACGCUGUUGCACUCCACCUCCCUAAAAAAUCCAAGAAAUCCUCAUCUGUUAAGAUUUCUCCUCAAUAAGAACAUUAUCUUUCAAAAUUUUAAAGUUUAACGCACCAAAUUACAUACAUGCUUAUAUAAUCUAAUUUUUUCUUUUAAAAAUUUUCAUUAGCGAAUUGUUUCACUAAUAAAACCACAAAACUUUCAGAUCAAUUCCAAUAUUAAUUAAGGAGCACAAUGCCACAACUUUAAUAGUACAAAUAAAUCUUAUCAUCUGUCUAUAGAAAGAAAAUAAGCCAAACAAAUUACAUUUCUAUAAGAACAAAGAGAAAUAAUGGUUCGAUCGUCAGUGUAAGGCACGAUAUUUACUUGGGAAACAUAAUCAUUAUAACCUGAAUCAAAAGAUAAAUUAGCUUGAUUAGUAUCCUAAUUCCAUAGUAUGAUUUUCCCACCGACUGAGCCCGAUACAAGAACAUUACCACCAGUAUUGAAGCUAAUUGCUUUCACUCGUUUGUUGUGUUAGUCCAUCGCAGGCUUUUGGUGGAUAUCAAGACGAAGCACAAAAUCCCGAUAUCAAAAUGCAGCAACGAAAUGUGAGAAUAUUAGAAAUCAUGUUAUCAAUUAGACACUUCACCUAACUCAAACACUAACAAUGGAACUAAAUUGAAUAUGAAAAUUUCUAAUCACAAUGGAAUGCUACCCUAAUUCAUCAAUUAUGGAAAUUUCUAACUUGAAUUCUGAUAUCCUAAUGGAAGGCUACUGAAGCAACUACAGUAUCAAAUAUCAGAAAUAAUGUUAUCCAUGCAAUUACAGUAUCAAAUAUUAGAAAUAAUUCAGCAAAAUUUCAAGUGAAAACUUUUAACAAAUAUCAGAAAUAAUGCUACUCAUGCAACUACAGUGUCAAAUAUCAUAAAUAAUCCAUCAAUCAUGGAAAUUUUGAGUGAAAAUUUCUUCCAAGCAACCACAUAAUCAAAUAUCAGAAAUAAUACUACCUAUCCAACCAUAGUAUCAAAUAUUAGAAAUAAUUCAUCAAAAUUUUGAGUGGAAAGUUUCAACAAAUAUCGAAAAUAAUGCUAUUUAUGCAAUCAAAUAUUAGAAAUAAUGCAUUUACCAUGGAAAUUUCGAGUGAAAUUUUUUCCCAAAUAACCAUAAUAUCAAAUAUCAGAAAUAAUUGAUCAAUUAUAAAAAUUUUGAGUGUAAAUUUCUAACUUUAAUUUUGAGAUCCCAAUGGAAGGCUAUCCAUAAAAAAUAAUCCACAUCACAAAUGGGUGUAAAUUAGAGAGAAUACAACAAAAUCAUGUUAAAUAUAUCAGAUUGACAAUAGCGUGAAAAACCUUGGAAUCUGCAAGACGGCGAGCGAAGUUUUGAGUGGAUACGAUGCGAUUUUAGGGUAAAUCACUCUAAAAGUCACAAAGCUUUGGUUUCUUUUGCAAUGUGGUCACCAAACUUCAAUUAUUUGCAAAGUGAUCACAUUUAAGAUUUUUUGGCCUGCCCUCGUAGGAGUUGUUGUCGUUCCACUGACGUGGCAAAUAAUCACAGUCACAUACUGAAUGUACAAAAACUAUCAAUGAAAAUGUGCCACCUAGCACAACCCCCAAAUCCCCAUAAAACCCAUUCUCCUCCCCCCCCCCCCCUCUCUCUCUCUCUCCUUCUUCCUCUCUCUCUUUUUUCUUGCCUGCCUUUGUUGCCCUUCCUUCUAGUCGCCAAUCGCCACCAUUGGAUCCGCCGCUAAUCGCCUUUGAGGCAGCCGCCGCCUCCAUUGUCGUUCGAUGCCGCCAUCGACGCUUCUCCUUCGUCGCCUCCUCUGACUACUUAGUUCACUGUUGUUUCACCCGCUGGUCAUCGCUUCGCUGUCGCCUCCACCUCUGGCCACCUGCUGCUUCGUCGCUGCCUCUGGUCACCGUUGCUGCAAACAGGGAGACUACUUCACCAUCACCUUCGCUUCCGAUCACUAGCUGUUUCACCUCCAGUCCCCUGUUAACAAUGAGGGUCUAGAAGAAAGCGACUACUGCAACAUUAUGGGUGGAUUGGGUAUGUAGAGAUUUAGACGGAGUGGAACCAAAAUAUGUUUGCAGGGGUUGAUUCCAGCCUUUAAUCAAGUAUUCCCUACAUUAGAGAAGAGGUAUUGUGUGAGGCACAUUUAUACAAACUUGAGAAAAAAUUGGAAAGGAAAAGAGUUGAAGGACAUGUUAUGGGAUUGUGCUAGGUCAAGCUAUGUCUAAAUGUUCACCAAAUGCAUGGGAGAAGUUGAUAAGAAGUCACAUGAAGCGUAUGAAUAUCUAAAUGAAAUUUCACCUUAGCGUUGGACAAGGUCACAUUGCCAAACUCAUUGUAAGUGUGACUUGCUGUUGAAUAAUAUUUGUGAAUGCUUCAAGAGUUGCAUCUUAGAAGCUAGGGAUAAGGGCAUCAUCACAUCCUUAGAAAUCAUAAGGUGUAAGUUGAUGAAAAGGUUUUGGAAAAAAGGGAUGCUAUGAAAAAAAUGCCCGGUCCAUUGUGCCCCAAAAUUAAAAAAAAAGAAGAAGAUAAAAUUAAGGUGCUCAGCUUCAACUACAUGUCCACUUGGUCUGGGGGAAGUAAAUGUCAGGUUGUCGGACCAGAAGGUCAAUUUGUAGUUGAUAUGAAUGAGAGGAGUUAUAGCUGUAGGAGAUGGGAUCUCACAGGGAUCCCAUGUGAGCAUGCAGUCAAUGCAUUGUUCAUGAAUAGAAAUAAGCCAAAAGAUUAUGUGGAUACGUGUUACACUAUUGAGUCUUAUUUGAAGAUCUAUAAGUAUUGUAUCAACCCAAUAAAUGGAUAUGAAAUAUGGCCCAUGAGUAAGGAAGCUGCUCUUUUACCCCCACUAAAACCAAAUCCAAAGAAAGGAAGAAGGGCAAAAUUAAGGAGAUUAGAUGCAAAGGAGUUGGAGAAAUUGAAGACUGGAAGGGUUUCAAGGAGAUGAUCUGUUAUGACAUGCACAGUGUGUGGUGUGAAGGGUCAUAAUAAAAGAUAUCAUGGCAAGCAGGUAAAUGAUGGUGAUGCUAGACAACAAGAGUCCACUACAUUUUCAGCUCCUACAUUAAUCCCCACAAGAAGGAAAUUGCAAGUGAAAUAACCCAGAGUGACAAAGACAAGCUAUACUGGUACGAACAAGAAACUCAUUUCAUGCACAUUUGUUAUGAAUUUUAUUUAACAGGUGAAAUAACCCAAAGUGACAAAGACAAGCUAUACUGAUAUGAAUUCACAAACAAGAAACUCGAGCCCACUAGUGAACCCAACUCCUCAAUUCUGCACCUUGCCUGAUGUCACAAACUAUGAGGCACCUGUUAAUCAACAAGAAAUUGAUGUAUCACAGGUGAAUCAUUCAGAAAAUAAAGUAUGUACCCACAUAUUGCCACCAUGGUCAAAGGUAUGCACUGAAGGGCGAAGAUGUCAUAAAAAAGAUGUUCGGGAUUCCUCUAGAUCAUUCCAAAUAAUGGGACUUGUUUGCUGUGCCGGUCAUCCUUUUAUCUUACAGACUCACUUCCUUCAUUGUCCUCAAGCUCAAGAAGAGAGUUGUGCCGCAUCUUAUUGACUUGUUUGCUAUGCUGGUCAUCCUUUUAUGUUGUAGCAUAUAAUUAAGAUGGAGUGGAGAUUCAUUCAUAUAUUAUAUGCCUAUGUUUAGACACUGAAAGAGUAGUGUUGUUUGGUUCAAUAAUAUUUACUAUUCUUUCAAUCAAGCAAAUAAAAUGGUAUUGUUGCAAUCA